UACAGAGGUCCCAAGCGUUGUUCGGAUUCACUGGGCGUAAAGAGCGUGUAGGCGGCCUGGUAGGUCUGCUGUGAAAACUCGAGGCUCAACCUCGAGAUGUCGGCGGAAACCAUCUGGCUAGAGUCCGGAAGAGGAGAGUGGAAUUCCUGGUGUAGCGGUGAAAUGCGCAGAUAUCAGGAAGAACACCUAUGGCGAAGGCAGCUCUCUGGGACGGUACUGACGCUGAGACGCGAAAGCGUGGGGAGCGAACAGG
rnacentral:rRNA from 1 species